UACGUAGGGGGCGAGCGUUGUCCGGAGUUACUGGGCGUAAAGCGCACGCAGGCGGUCUGCUAAGUUUGGAGUGACAGUUGGUGGCUUAACUGCCAAAGUGCUUCGAAAACUGACAGACUUGAGGGCUUCAGAGGGACACGGAAUUCCGGGUGGAGUGGUGAAAUGCGUAGAGAUCCGGAGGAACACCAAAGGCGAAGGCAGCCCCCUGGGCUAACACUGACGCUCAUGCACGAAAGCGUGGGGAGCAAACAGG
rnacentral:rRNA from 1 species